rnacentral:lncRNA from 1 species
CCAAAAAAUAAAUAAAUUACAUAUAAUUAAAAGAUUCAUAAUCAGUUUCUAAGCUCAUUUAAUUCAGACUCAUAUAGAGCAGAAGUCUUCCCUUAGCCCCAGUAAGAGCUAUGAAUAUCUUUGCCAACUAUUUACAAGGCUUUUAGAAAAAAGGUGACUCUAUCCUGCAUGACAUAAAGCAGCCACUGGGUGGCAGCCUUCUGGCCAGACAGCUCUCAAAGCUCCUGAAAUUCCCCAGUGUGCCCUGAGAGCACUUGGAAGGCACCUAAUGGAGCUGUCACUCGUGGCUGUCCCUGACAAGUUCUGGAGCCUAAGACACUAUGGUGUUUCUCUGCCCAUCAAUCUCUCCUUUUGACAGACACUAAACUCAUUCCCUUCCUACACUUACUUUGGGGGAACUGUCUCCACCCCAUUCAUAUUCUUCUGGCAAGGCUGUUAAUCACAGGACACCCCUCCCCUGACCACACAGUGGACCUAAGAUCUAAACUAAUUAAUUGAAUCUCUUUAUGGAGAAUUCAAAUUUCUAUCUGAGUUACAAAUACAGAGGAGAGUUGGAGCUGGGUCAUCCCACUGCAGUUCCACAUAGAAAAGCUCGCCAGGUGCCCUGCUGAGACGGGGGCAGUCCUGUCCGUGGACCCAGUUGUUCCUUUAAAUCUGCAGCUACCCAUUGCCCAUAGCUCAAAAAAUGAACAUCUUUUGAACUAAAUUAGUCAAUCAGUUGUUUUUAACCAAUGAGUCUUGACCUUGCUCCUCUGUGCUUUCCGGAGUAAAGGCCAUGGAUGAGUAAAGAACACAGAAGGAAAAGAGAAAAACUGCAUUGUUUCCCCUACCUAAAAUUACAGCCCCAGCCUACCUCAUGCCUUAAUGAAUCUCUAGCUACCAUAAGGCUUUUAUUUGUGGAAAUCUUACACAUUUGACUGAAAGUCGAAGCUUAUUACAGAACAGCAAAUCUGUUAUUUCUACAAAGCCCCUGUUAGCUGUCUCUGCACCUGUUCUCUCUUCUGCUAAGCUACCUAUGCUCCCUUCCAAAGAGGGUGGGGGUGUGACCAGGACCCAGAUUCCAAACCAGGAUGCAAGUGGUACUUAAAGAGACAGACCCAAGCCAGGUGUGGUGGAGCACGCCUGCAGUCCCAGCAUCUUGAGAGGCCGAGGCAGGA